GCCACACAACACACUACAGUCUUUCAACUCAUAAUUAUUCAAAGACAACAUGGUAAAAACGCAAGCUAUCCUUGUACUCAUGUUCGUUUCUAUGGCAUAUGGUGGUAACUAUGGAAACGGCUUUAACUACGGAAAUAACUACCAAUACACCGGAAGUUAUGUCGGUUCUAACAACGCUGGAACAUUCAACAGAAAUGCAAACAGUUAUAGUAAUUAUGGUGGAUAUAGUUCUCAAGGAUAUAAUAGAUACACACCAGGUGGAUAUGGUCAAGGAUAUAAUAAAUACGCAUCAGGUGUUUACAGCCAAAUGAUAGUGCCGCACCCUUAUCCACUUCCGGUUCCGGUUGCAUCUCGGCAUUCUCAUGCAGGCAAUAGAGUUCUUGUUGUGAGAAAUCAAGGCACUCAAAACAAUGGUUUACUUGGUUUUGGAGGCAAUGGCAUAUUCGGAUUUAUAGUUACCAUCCUGUUCUUACAGUACAUUAUGCAACGACUUAACAACACUCAGAACCAAGCCCAGUGAUAAUAAAAGCUCAGGGACAUCUGUUGACAAGAAGAAACUUAAUACACGUUUAAAUAAAAUGGUUAUGGAAUUUAAACAUAA